rnacentral:rRNA from 1 species
GCCGGCAACUAUACUAUCCUGAACGUGCACAGUCUCGUCUGAUCUCGGAAACUAAGCAGGGUCAGGCCUUGGUAGCACUGGGAUGGGAGAAGAAAGCAAAGGAGAGAGUCGUGGUUGAGA